rnacentral:tRNA from 1 species
UCGAUCCUUCCGUCCCA